GUUAGUGUGGCAGAGCCUGGAUAAUGCAAAAGGUCUAAGCCCUUUCUACAGAGGUUCAAUUCCUCUUACUAACU
rnacentral:tRNA from 1 species